UAAACGCGGUCGAUACGGACUCGUGCGUCACUAAGACUAAGACGCCGCGGGGACUGUGCGGGUGUGCGGGGCGACCCCGCCUCCGCGGCUCACCUCAUGCCCCGAUUGCCAUGUCGACCUGUCGUCAACUAUAGGUAUAUAGUUUCGAUAGUAGUAUCUUGUGAUAUUAUUAUGAUUCAGAGUAAUAACUCUAACAUAACAACCACACACGUCAGUGCAGUAUCGUUUUAUUAAAUCGAUAACAAUAACCCUAAGUGCAUUCUAAUUUAUUUCAUUACGAGAAAGGUUUUUAUUUAUUCCAUUGGAAGACAACACAGUAGGUACUUUUCGUAACGCUCUGCCGUUCUAACGGUGCAUUGCGAUGCAACGCAACGGAUCUACAAUGCUCGUGGUGAUUGAUUUUUUUCCCAUCAGUCAAGGUAAUCAGUCGCGUCGGGCUGACAAUUAAAAACGCCUGCCAUCGAAAAAGUUCCCAAGCUCAACAGUGUAUUGAAAAGUAACCGUGCAAACUUAAUUAUAUGUAUACGUAUAUAUUCAAUGUAGCACUUUGAUAUUCAAGCAGACUUUUAUCCCAUUAACACAGAUUUGGAGCGAAAUAUGAACCAAUAGUUGACCGGUUGGGCGAAGUCACUUUUAUACGAAACAUCAAUCUUAAACGGCCUCAGUGGUCCAGUGGUUGAGCGUUGUGCUCACGAUCCGGAGGUCCCGGGUUCGAAACCCGGUGGGGAAAUAUCACAAAAAUCACUUUGUGAUCCCUAGUUUGGUUAGAACAUACAGGCCGAUCACCUCAUUGUCCAAAAGUAAGAUGAUACGUGCUUCGGAAGGCACGUUAAGCCAUUGGUCCCGGUUACUACUUACUGACGUAAGUACGUAGUCGUUACAUGAGUCAUGUCAGAGGCCUAUGGCGGCUCAAUAAUAAUAAAGAUUAAAGCCAAAAAAAAGUCUAAAGAUGUAUACUUAAUAUAAAAAAUAUGAUUUAAAAACACACCCUAAUUACUGUGAUUAUUUACCAUUCUCUUAUCUUGCUAUAGAUAAUAAUAGCUUUGGGAAGAUAUGAAAACGCUGUAUGUCCUUGAUAAGUACCUUUAUUAAUCGAUCGAGUUCCGUCAUAGGCAGACAUUCUCUGUUGACUUAAUUAAGUGGCUACAGGAAACUCACUCACGUGUGGCCUUAUUGGCCAUGCAAGGGUACGACACGGUUAUUGAGAGCUAAAUCUGAGAGUGCUCUCUGGAUAAUUACCAGAACUUCUGUAGCCGAGGUUCUAUACUUUAUAACUGGACCCUAACUAUGCACCUACAAAGAGACUUCCUUUUAUAUCUUACUCGUUCAAUACCCUUAGAGUUACAUGCUGUUUUCAGGGCAGGCAGGAAAAAGAAAGUGACCUUUGAAAGUAAACUAUGGACAUCCCGUACAGGUGAGUUAACUAAAAUUGACGCGUAAAACUAUCGUAUUGAACUGUAAUCUUCUUUACGUUUAACUGUUUCUUGUGGUAUGUGCAAUAAAUAAAUAAUGGUGCUAAUUCCUGUAGACACCAUCUAAUUUUAUUUUAAGUUAUACCUGUCAUUUUCUUAUCCGCCGAAAAGGAAAGGGACGGACAAUCGAGAGGCAUUUUAGGCAGAAGUUUAAAAAACCCAUCCAAAUUUUUUUAUUGGCCAAUAACCCAUCGGAAUUAAGUUGGCAGCACACGUCAAGUGGAUUGCGUAUGAGCGAGAUUCCUAUUGUCUUCGCCCGGGUUAUUGGAUGGACAGUCCCAUCCUAACUCAUUGGAUGUACAUGCAUGUGACAUCCAAUUAGAAUUAUAAAUUUUACUAACUUAGAUAUAAUAUUCUAUUACUAACAAAAUAUGGAUAAAAAGAAAUCCGAAAUAUUUGAUUUCAUAUUCAUUCAUUUUGAAAUCAUCCGUCCCUUUCAUUUUAAGCGAAUAAAAAAAUGACAGGUAUAACUUAAAAUAAAAUUAGGAGGUAUACGCAGGAAUCGCGGCCACUGUGUUAGUACAUACACCUGCUUUAGUUAAUUGUCCCUAUACAUGGUUGUUUUUGAACGCUAAAGUAUCGACCUUUUUCUGCCUGUCUGAGAAACAGACUUUAAGAUAAGUAAAUGUUGUUUGUAUCAUAGAGUAAUAUAUUACGACUUAUGGUAGUCUGUCAUGGACAUAAUAUAUUUAAUAAUGAUCUUAAUGUAAAAAAUUCCGCCUUAUCACUUUUGAAUUGUGUAUUUUUUUUCCGUUACCUACUAAUAUAUUUGAUGUUUUUUUCGCUAUGGUUACCUAAAAUAAUAAAGAAAAAUAAAGAAAAACAAAAAAGAAAGAGAGAGGUUAUAAAGUAGCAUGGAAAAUCCUGCACCGACAAGAGCGUGGCUCUUAAAUUGAUGAUCAGUUAAGGAAACUAGUAUUUUGUUUAGUAAGUACUUAUGCUUAUUUUUUUUUUAUGUAUUUUGUAUUACUUACUUAAAUCUUUAUUAUGAAUCAUUUCAUAAUGCUUAAUAGUGAAAAGAACUUUAGGAAACAAUGAUUGCACAUGAAAAAAAAACUAACCAAACCUGGUUUAAAAGUGCUAAGCCAGUGUAAAACAUACCAUAACACCACGGCAGUAUACCUGAAGUGGUAGCCAGGGUUAAACUCAAUAUAAUAUUUAUCCUGUAAAUAGACUAGUUACUAAAACAUUAGUUAUUUUCUGAUGUACCUAUUUAAACUUAAUACCAUUAGUUUGUAUUUUUGAUGUUUGUAAAUAUGUAAAUACAUUUCAAGAAUUUUCCAUA